rnacentral:rRNA from 1 species
AACGAACGCUGGCGGCGUGGAUUAGGCAUGCAAGUCGAACGCGAAAGUGGGAGCAAUCCCGCGAGUAGAGUGGCGAACGGGUGAGUAACGCGUGAAGAACCUGCCUUCAACAGGGGGAUAACACUCCCAACGGGGUGCUAAUACCGCAUGAGACCACGGGUCUGCAUGGACCUGAGGUCAAAGGUGGCCUCUGCUUGCAAGCUACCGGUUGAAGAUGGCUUCGCGUCCCAUUAGCUAGUUGGCGGUGUAAAAGACCACCAAGGCGACGAUGGGUAGCUGGUCUGAGAGGAUGGUCAGCCACAUUGGAACUGAGACACGGUCCAGACUCCUACGGGAGGCAG